rnacentral:rRNA from 1 species
GGUCUGGCCUGCCCACUGACUAAUAACGGUUAAAGGGCCGCGGUAUCUUGACCGUGCGAAGGUAGCAUAAUAAUUAGUCUCCUAAUUAGAGGCUUGUAUGAAUGGUCGGACAAGAUGGGAACUGUCUCGAUAUAAAAAAUAAAAUUUAAUAUUUAAGUAAAAAAGCUUAAAUAAAAUAGAGGGACGAUAAGACCCUAUAAAGCUUUAUGGUGUACUACUUUGUUACAAAAUAUAAUAAUUAAAACUUAUUGAAGUAGUGGGCAUUAUUUUACUGGGGCGGUAAAAGUAUAAAUAAUCUGAGUAACUGCUUUUAUUGUGCUAAACAAUUAUAAUUGACUUUUAAAUUGAUCCAUUACUAAUGAUCACAAGAACAAGUUACUUUAGGGAUAACAGCGUAAUUUUUUUUGAGAGUCCUCAUCGAAAAAAAAGUUUGCGACCUCGAUGUUGAAUUAAGGAAACCUUAAGGUGCAGCCGCUUUAAAGG